UGAAUACGAGACGCUAAGGCGUCGAAGUAGUGUAUGUCAUACUUCCAAGAAAAGCUUGCACUGUCAUAGAUAAAAAACGCCUGUACCAUAACCGACACAGGUGGGUAGGUAGAGUAUACUAAGGGGCGCGAGAUAACUCUCUCUAAGGAACUCGGCAAAAUAACUCCGUAACUUCGGGAGAAGGAGUGCCUUAUUCGUAAGGUUGCAAUAACAAGAUCCAAGCAACUGUUUAUCAAAAACACAGGUCUCCGCUAAGUCGUAAGACGAUGUAUGGGGGCUGACGCCUGCCCAGUGCCAGAAGGUUAAAGAAGUUGGUUAGCAAUUGCGAAGCUGAUAACUGAAGCCCUGGUGAACGGCGGCCGUAACAAUAACGGUCCUAAGGUAGCGAAAUUCCUUGUCGGGUAAGUUCCGACCCGCACGAAAGGCGUAAUGAUUUGGAUACUGUCUCGGAGAGGGGCUCGGUGAAAUAGACUUGUCUGUGAAGAUGCGGACUACCUGCACCAGGACAGAAAGACCCUAUGAAGCUUUACUGUAACUUGAAAUUGAAAUUGGACUUUAUUCGCGCAGCAUAGGUGGGAGGCGUUGAUUAUAAUCUUGCGGGAUUAUUGGAGCCAUCAGUGAGAUACCACUCUUGUAAUGUUAGAUUUCUAACUUUGAAUCAUUAUCUGGUCAAAGAACAGUUUCAGGCGGGCAGUUUGACUGGGGCGGUCGCCUCCUAAACGGUAACGGAGGCGUACAAAGGUUUCCUCUGAACGGUUAGAAAUCGUAUCUAGAGUGUAAAGGCAUAAGGAAGCUUGACUGUGAGACCUACAAGUCGAGCAGGGACGAAAGUCGGUCUUAGUGAUCUGACGGUACUGAGUGGAAAGGCCGUCACUCAACGGAUAAAAGUUACUCUAAGGAUAACAGGCUGAUCUCCCCCAAGAGUUCACAUCGACGGGGAGGUUUGGCACCUCGAUGUCGGCUCAUCGCAUCCUGGGGCGGUAGUACGUCCCAAGGGUUGGGCUGUUCGCCCAUGAAAGCGGUACGCGAGCUGGGUUCAGAACGUCGUGAGACAGUUCGGUCCAUAUCCGGUGUAGGCGUUAGAAUAUUGAGAGGAGCCUUCUUUAGUACGAGAGGACCGAGAAGGACAUACCUCUGGUGUACCAGUUAUCGUGCCAACGGUAAACGCUGGGUAGCUAUGUAUGGAGUGGAUAACCGCUGAAAGCAUCUAAGUGGGAAGCCCACCUCAAGAUAAGUAUUCUCAUC
rnacentral:rRNA from 1 species